UUAUCAUCCCCCUAGUGGCCGAAUGAUAGAAGUUUAUACAACUCAACCUGGUGUUCAAUUUUAUACAGGAAAUUUCCUGGAUGGGACUCUAAAGGGUAAAGAGGGCCAGGUGUACUUCAAACAUUCUGGUUUCUGCCUUGAAACACAAAAUUGGCCAAAUGCCGUGAAUCAGCCUAAUUUUCCAGAUGUCCUGCUGUACCCAGGAGAUGAAUACAAUACCACAACAUGUUUCAAGUUCUCUGUAUCUUAAAUGAAAUCAUCAUGUUCUUGUGCCAUAUUCCUCAUCGGACAUUGGUGAUCAUGUUGGCAAUUCUAUUUUUGUCAACAGCUGCAUGAAAAAGUGCUGCUGAGUUUUGUCCAAACCAGUCCCUUAGGUUUUGAAACCAAAUGAAAUCUUGCUACAAGUUAAUUUUGCAAAAAUAUUUUAAGUGAUUCAAGCAGAUUCUGAAUAUCCUAAUUAUAGCUCAAAUUUCAUCAGCCAUUAAAAAGGUAGUAUUUGGAUAAGUCCCCACUUCAUAGUAUAAAAGUAGCAAAAUUUAAGUUCAGUCAACAAAUUGAAUAUUAUCAUCUCUACCUGCAGUUUACCACCUUUUGAUAGAUUUUAUAUUACACCAUGUAAAUAGGAAGUGAAGUCCUAAUUUAAAAUCACGAAGACUUUCAUUAAGGUGGUUUGUGGCAAUGUUCCUUACAGUGCAGGUAUUACUGAGACGUCAUAAUCUGAUCAGAUAUUUGGUAAUGCUGUUUCCACUAUUCCAGAAUUUAAGAUUCCAAACAUUG